rnacentral:rRNA from 1 species
AUUGAACGCUGGCGGCAGGCUUAACACAUGCAAGUCGAACGUGUGGCGGACGGGUGAGUAGUGCUUUGGAAUGUGGCUUAUGGAGGGAGAUAACGACGGGAAACUUUCGCUAAUACCGCGUACCACAGGAUGAGCCCAAGGGGGAGUAGGUAGUUGGUGGGGUAAUGGCAUACAAAGCCGAUUAUUUCUAGCUGGUCUGAGAGGAUGACCAGCCACACCGGGACUGAGACACGGCCCGGACUCCUACGGGAGGAAGCAGUGGGUAAUAUUGCGCAAUGGGGGCAACCUGACGCAGCCAUGCCGCGUGAAUGAAGAAGGCUUUCGAGUUGUAAAGUUCUUUCGGUGACGAGGCGUUAAUCACAGAAAAAGCACCGGCUAACUCCGUGCCAGCAGCCGCGGUAAUAC